GAUGAAGAACGCAGCGAAAUGCGAUAAGUAGUGUGAAUUGCAGAAUUCAGUGAAUCAUCGAAUCUUUGAACGCACAUUGCGCCCCUUGGUAUUCCAUGGGGCAUGCCUGUUCGAGCGUCAUUUGUACCUUCAAGCUCUGCUUGGUGUUGGGUGUUUGUCUCGCCUCUGCGUGUAGACUCGCCUUAAAACAAUUGGCAGCCGGCGUAUUGAUUUCGGAGCGCAGUACGUCUCGCGCUUUGCACUCAUAACGACGACGUCCAAAAGUACAUUUUUACACUCUUGACCUCGGAUCAGGUAGGGAUACCCGCUGAACUUAAGCAUAUCAAUAAGCGGAGGA
rnacentral:misc_RNA from 1 species